UGGGGUUGUGGCUCAGCAGUAGAAUGCUCACCUACCACAUGUGAGGCCCUGGGUUCGAUUCCCAGCACCACAA
rnacentral:tRNA from 1 species